rnacentral:rRNA from 1 species
CCUACGGGAGGCAGCAGUGGGGAAUUUUGCGCAAUGGGCGAAAGCCUGACGCAGCGACGCCGCGUGAGGGAUGAAGGUCUUCGGAUCGUAAACCUCUGUCAGCAGGGAAGAACGGUCACUGUGCUAAUCAGCCGUGAAUUGACGGUACCUGCAAAGGAAGCACCGGCUAACUCCGUGCCAGCAGCCGCGGUAAUACGGAGGGUGCGAGCGUUAAUCGGAAUUACUGGGCGUAAAGCGCUCGUAGGCGGUUUGUCAAGUCAAGGGUGAAAUCCCCGGGCUCAACGGGGGAACUGCCUUUGAAACUGGCAAACUGGAGUGUGUGAGAGGAGAGUGGAAUUCCAGGUGUAGGGGUGAAAUCCGUAGAUAUCUGGAGGAACAUCAGUGGCGAAGGCGACUAUCUGGACCGUAACUGACGCUGAGGAGCGAAAGCGUGGGUAGCAAACAGGAUUAGAUACCCCAGUAGUC